rnacentral:rRNA from 1 species
UACGUAGGGGCCGAGCGUUGUCCGGAGUUACUGGGCGUAAAGCGCGCGCAGGCGGCUCGCUUUGCCCGGCGUGAAAGCCCCCGGCUCAACCGGGGAGGGUCGUCGGGGACGGGCGAGCUUGAGGCCGGCAGGGGCAGGUGGAAUUCCCGGUGUAGUGGUGAAAUGCGCAGAUAUCAGGAGGAACACCGGUGGCGAAGGCGGGUCUCUGGGCCGUAACUGACGCUGAGGAGCGAAAGCGUGGGGAGCGAACAGG